rnacentral:rRNA from 1 species
UGAACGCUGGCGGCAGGCUAACAAUGCAAGUCGAACGGUAACAUUUCUAGCUUGCUAGAAGAUGACGAGUGGCGGACGGGUGAGUAAUGCUUGGGAACUUGCCUUUGCGAGGGGGAUAACAGUUGGAAACGACUGCUAAUACCGCAUAAUGUCUUCGGACCAAACGGGGCUUCGGCUCCGGCGCAAAGAGAGGCCCAAGUGAGAUUAGCUAGUUGGUAAGGUAAUGGCUUACCAAGGCGACGAUCUCUAGCUGUUCUGAGAGGAAGAUCAGCCACACUGGGACUGAGACACGGCCCAGACUCCCACGGGAGGCAGCAGUGGGGAAUAUUGCACAAUGGGGGAAACCCUGAUGCAGCCAUGCCGCGUGUGUGAAGAAGGCCUUCGGGUUGUAAAGCACUUUCAGUUGUGAAGAAAAGUUAGUAGUUAAUACCUGCUAGCCGUGACGUUAACAACAGAAGAAGCACCGGCUAACUCCGUGCCAGCAGCCGCGGUAAUACGGAGGGUGCGAGCGUUAAUCGGAAUUACUGGGCGUAAAGCGCACGCAGGCGGUUUGUUAAGCUAGAUGUGAAAGCCCCGGGCUCAACCUGGGAUGGUCAUUUAGAACUGGCAGACU